rnacentral:lncRNA from 1 species
CCUGGCAGGCCAUAAUAAUGGCCACGAUCCUGCUCCACUUCCUGCAAUGGAUACCGCAUGAUUUUUUCAUUCUCUGGUAGGUCACGACAACGGAUGCCGCUCCGCUCCCCGUGGCAGACUCCACGUGGCACGCCCCGGUGAUAGCCACGGGUCCACUCCACUACUCCCUGCAACAAACUCCUCCUGACUCUGGACGGCCCACUGUCAGACGGUUACAGACAUCACUAUCAGUUUAUUGCCCCCUCCGUCUAUAAAAAGGGGACCCCAGAUACGUUAUUCUCUGAGCUCUCGUUUUUACCUAGAAACUCUACUAAAAUUUUCGUUUGAGCACUCCAUUCUUGUUGAUGCAGAGAACUGACUUGAGCGUCGGAGGGUCUUGCCGG